rnacentral:rRNA from 1 species
CUCUCUCCUCUUUAUAAAGCACUGGUGCACCACACGCUCGCCACUUGCUCGCGCUCUCCCUCGCCCACGUUUCCCGGCCGGCACAGGGUAGGCUAAGCCAGGACCAGCGCCCAGCUCUGGUCACGGGGAGCGUGUGUGUGUGUGUGUGUGUGGCUGCGGCGGGCCGGAGCGGGCGAGGAUGGGGAACUGCCAGGCGGCGGAGGUGGCGGCGGCGGUGGUGCAGCACCCGGGCGGGCGGGUGGAGCGGCUCUACUGGUCCACGCCCGCGGCGGAGGUGAUGCGCGCCAACCCGGGCCACUACGUCGCGCUCGUCACGCUCCGCGUCGCCGAGGAGCGCCAGGACGCCGACGGCGGCGGCGCGCGCCGCACCGUGCGCCUCACCCGCGUCAAGCUCCUCAAGCCCAAGGAGACGCUGCUCCUCGGCCACGCCUACCGCCUCAUCACCGCCAACGAGGUGACCAAGGCGGUGCAGGCGAGGAAGGAGGAGAAGCUGAGGAAGGCGCGGCAGCAGCUGCAGCAGCUGGAGUUGUCGACGCGGCAGAGCAAGCUGCGGCCGGCGGCGGACGGUGACGACGUCGACGACGACGACGACGAGGCCAGCUUGGAUGAGAGUCUCGAUCAGGUGGUUACAUGGACUUAGCUCUAUUCAAUCCAACUACUUUUCUCUCUCUCCCCCUCGAUGCCGCCAUGCACGUUCUCUGCAUGAUUGAUGCGCCUUUAAUUGCCUUCUCUGCAAGGGUUGCUAGUUAGUUGUUCCUCGCGAUUCUCAUGUCUUCCUCAGUUCGUCCACAUCAACACUGUAGGUCAUCAGCUUACCGAGAAGAUGAAUUUUCUCUGGGUAAUUGCCAUUAGAUUUUUCGCGGCUGCAAAAUCUGCAAAGUUUUCACAGAAAUCUGGUUAACCUUUAGCUCAAAGGAGAGAAUCAGUUUGGAGUACCUGACACUGACAAUUCUCAAUCCCCAAUUGACACGCAUAAAACAAGAUUGUAGGUGUGGUCCUGUGGAUCCAACUGAUUGAUGCCAUCGUACCGUCCACAAGGGAAUUUAAUGCUUAAAAUAGAGGGAUGCAGAAUGAUAAAAGAAUCAUGAAUUCAUGAUGAUAAAUAAAAUACUGAAGAGUCGCGGCUAGUGGCAGGAGCAAAGAAUCGUCUGCGAGAUCCCUUCUUCUGCUCCCGUUCUGAACCGCGGCAACAUGCAAAUGUUCCACCUUCUGACUACUCUACACCUGAUUGCAGUUGGCGCGGCAGGACGGAGGAGACGGCCACCGGAGCUCCGGCGCCCGGCACCGGCAAUGGCGGCCCUCGCUGCACAGCAUCGACGAGGCCGCGAGCUGAUGCCCGGCCAUGCAUAGCCCUCGGUGGAUCUUCUGUAUUUUCGGCGUCCACCGGGCCUCGACAGAUUAAUCUAGCUCGCGUCACAUGGGUUGCUGCCACAUCUGUGUUGGAUCGCUUCUGAAGCGGCUCCGUCGAUCGGAGCGUGUCCGUGUACAUUUUCAGGGUUUCUCGUCAGGGUCUGUUAGUGAGAGUGAGACUGCCUUUUUUUCUUUCUUUCUCUUGAUACGUUUGCACCUGAUUAAGAUGCAUGAAAGAAGUUCACAACACGAGUAGCUAAUACUACAUCCAUACAAGAGAUGAUGCCAUUGCCAUGUACUAAUGCACCUGUGCAUCGAUCUCGUCCAUGCUCAUGGCCUCUCAUGGGUGAUGGCGUUUCUCUGUGCUGUGUUCUUGCAAUUCUUGGCGCCGAGUUCUCAAUCAUAAGCACGGUGCCGGCUGCGGGCGCACCUGCAAGCAGCGGCCGCAGGUGGUGGGAUGGA